rnacentral:rRNA from 1 species
AUUGAACGCUGGCGGCAUGCCUUACACAUGCAAGUCGAACGGUAACACGAGGCUGCUUCUUGCUUUGCUGACGAGUGGGGUGCGUGAUAGUUCUGUCUGGGCACCUGCCCGAUGGAUGGGGAUAACUACUGGAAACUGUUACUACUACCGCAUAACGUCGCAAGACCAAAGAGGUUGACCUCUGGGCCUCUUGCCAUCGGCUGUGCCCAGAUGGGAUUAGCUAGUUGGUGGGGUAACGGCCUACCAAGGCGACGAUCCGUAGCUGGUCUGAGAGGACGACAAGCCACACUGGGACUGAGACACGGCCCAGACUCCUACGGGAGGCAGCAGUGGGGAAUUUUGGACAAUGGGCGAAAGCCUGAUGCAGCAAUGCCGCGUGUAUGAAGAAGGCCUUCGGGUUGUAAAGUACUUUUGGCGGGGAGGAAAAGAGUAGUGUUAAUACCUCGGCUCAAUGACGGUACCCGCAGAAGAAGCACCGGCUAACUACGUG